rnacentral:tRNA from 1 species
GUGAAGUUGGCUCAGUGGUAGAGUGCUUGCUUCAAAUGCAAGAGGCCCUGGGUUUGAUUCCUCAGCACC